UCGUAGGGUGUAGUAAUUCAGAGGCACACUGUGUGUGAAAGCUGCUACACACAUAGAGACUCCUGGAAGAGCAACAUGCUCAGGUUACUUCAUCACUGCUUAAUAGCUGUGUGCUUGGUGAGGUUCUUGAUGCGCCUGCCACUCUGCUGUGCUCAAUAUGAAUAUGAUACUACUUUACCACCAGAUUAUGACUACAAUGCCACAUUUGAAUACAAUUUCUUCAGCAACAGCAGCAAUGAAGAUCUAGAGAUUUUCAUUAGAGAAAAGGAAUCUGAAGAUGAAACUACUGCGUUCAAUACACCAAACAAGGGCUUUAGAACAGAAUAUCCAAGCUUCCUGCUCAUACUGAUCCUCACUGCUCAUCCCCUGCUCAGAGUCCUAUAGGACACACAGGGCACCAUCACACAGAAGUACAUGAGGUCCCAAAGGAAAUACAGAAAUGGACAAACAUCCAAAUUGCAAGACUAAGCAGAUUGACACAGAGGAAGAGAGGCACACAGACAUACUCAAACAAGCAUACUCUCAUGUUAUAGAAGCAGCUAUAACCUGUUCUAGUCUUGCACUGCAGUAAUGAUGCAAACUGGAGACACUGCAAGACACCAUCUCAUCUAUUAAGCAAAAACAGAGACACAAAGAAAGUGUAAGACACACAACUGUACGGACUACUGGAAACACAAAUGUAGCUUAUGUUUAGUUACACAAAAUAUGCCUUAUAAUAAGCGGGACAGAAAAUUUGGCUAAACAGGCAUAGACAAAUUAAGACAAUAGAUUUAUGAAUGUAAGACAAUGCUGCAAAGAAUGAAACUAGCAUCAGUGCUGCAGUGUGUUUUGCUCUCUGUGGGUCCACAUGCAUUGUCUACACAUUUUGCAUCAUUUUACAUCAGUUCAUUAUGCACACUGCAACAAGUCCAGUCUGUUUCUCUCAGGCCACCUCAUACCUGAAAAAUAUUAACAACGGAAAUUAAAAAAUGAUAUUUGAUACUAACUUAAUACCAUUUAGGUCAAUCAAAAAUACAUUACUUUUUACUACUCUUUUAUACUUAUUCAUUAUACAGUAAACUGAUUUUUGUAUUACUUUAGCAACAUAGACACUGUGAAUGUCAGAGCAAAAAGUAAAAAUCUUGAUAAGUCUUAAACAAUGCAUACAUUAGCGUACACACAGGCACUUUCCUAAGCAAAUGCACUUCUUUUCCUUAGCACCAUUUUCUUAGUGCUCCUAAGUAGAUCUACCCAUAUGAAAAUAUCAUAUGCAUUUCACACAUGAUCAUGUAUCACUUUUUCCCAUGUGAGUAAGAUGUAAUCCUAUGUGAAAAACAUGUACAUUUGCAUUAAGAUAAAUAUAAAAAUGCAUAGGUGGAAUUUAAUAAAGAAAAAAAAAACGAUGAAUUUACUAUCAUAUAACAUUCCAUGAUAAUUAAAAACAAAACAAAUAAACAGCCACAACAACACAAAUCACAUGUAUAUAAUGUAAUUAUUUACAGGUGAAGUUUAUGUGACGUUGUUUUGGGUAAAUGCUUUAAGUAUGCUUUGAAGACAAACAAUUGCAUGUUUUAUUGACCUGUCACAAUUUCAAUUUUUUAGUUUUAAUGACCUAAUGUCACUGUUCUUAAUAAAUUAUUUUUUUUUUUACUUAAAUCUAUAAAGAGAUGUUUGUUUAACAUGGUCUAUCACAUGGCUAAAUCUUAACAAAUUGUACCAAACAUGCUUAGAAGUAAUAACAUUUUUAGAAAUGCUUUAUGAUGA